UCCAACCACCCAAAGAACAAAAACAAUUUUCAAGAAUGGUUAAUUCGACAUUAGUAUUCAUACGGGAUGAGAAUGCGAGGCAAAUGACUUAUCUCGUCAUUUUCGUCAGUGUGAGCGUCAGGAUAGCAGUUUAGAUAUAUACCCUGCGACAAAGUACAUGAUACUAUACAAGAAGCAUCGGAGGGAACUGUUUCGGCGGGGCUGAGCUGCAAUUUUUCUUUUACCGAGUACACGUCCGAUCCUAAUUACCGUGAUGAUAUCUUCGGUUCUGGUUAUGUUUUUAAUAUUUGUAACAUUGUCGGAAAUCGACGUCACAAAAAGUGGAAAUCUUGACAAAGAAUGCAAACCGCAGCGCUACCCGAAACGUGUAACUCAAUAUGGUGAGUAAAAUU